rnacentral:lncRNA from 1 species
AGCGAAGGGGUGGGGUGGGAUCUUGGUCCAGCUGGUACUGGAGCGGCGACAAUUUUGGCUAGUCUAAGAAGGGCAUUCGAGUGACCGUUGACAACGGGUGGGACAGCGUCAGAGCUGGAGGGAGAGCCAGCACUGUAUGCUUCCAGGACUUCUUGCUAGGUGCAUUAGUUUUUAUUUUUAAGAGUUGGGUAAAAGACAUUAAUUAGUUAGCAUCUCACUCAUCGGCGAUUUUCUACGGUAUGAUUUCAUCCAAAGAGGAUUUCUUAAUCGCACUGUGUGACACCGUUAGGGGACUUAGAGUGUCACUCGCCGCCUUAAAUCCUUUCGGGAACAAGCCAGGAUAUAAAUAAAUAAAGCUAGGUGUGGGUCUUCCCUUCACAAGGCGCUGGUAGGCAGACUAAAGACAGGCAACAGCUGAGUGUGCACACAGAACUAAAUAUUGAACGAAAUACGAGUGUCGGAAUAAAAUUCAUUGCCAUGUGCACGGCUUAUGAUUAUACAGAUCUUGGACAUAUCACGGACCUGAACGUCAACCCUGCAACACCGGAUAAAACAUCUAAUGUAGCUGGAAUAGACUCUGAAAGGACGUUAGGCAUUAUCUAAAUCAAGUCCCUCAUUUUACAGAUGAGUAAACUGACUCAGUGAAGUAUUUUGCUCAAGGUCGUUCAUCAAAUUAGUAGUUUAAUUAACUCAGUGUUCUAGGAAGCAGGGUAGUAGAAAAGCAUGGGAUUCGGAGUCUGAAAUCUUCCUUGGUUUCUGGUCCUUGUAGGCUGUUUUACAAGUGUAUCUUGGGCAAAUCCCUUAACGUCUUGCCAUUUAUUAAGGGCUUACUUACCACGUGGCAAACAAUCCACUUUGCAUGCUGUGUCAAUUACAUGCAGUAUGUCGUGUAGUUAUUACUGUCCCCAUUUUAUGAGGUAGUUUAGGUUUAAAGAUAUUAGAAAUUUACCCAAAGUUACGCAGUUAUAAACAUUGUAGUAAUUUCAAACUCAGGUCUUCGUGACUGCAAAGGCUGCUGUCUUAAGUAUUGUAAUACAUUAGAGCUCCGGAUUCCCUCCCACUCAAAACAGAGACUGAGACUCCAACCAAUUUCCACCAUUAUUGGGAGUCAAACGAGAGAGACUGUGGCAAUGUAUUCUAAGCUGUACAAAGGUAUAAACAUAUUCACUAGAUUUGUAGAAUGAAGUUAUUCCUUCCCUAUACUUUCCACUACAACAAUUCAGCCAAAAAGAUGGCUUUCAUACUAAGCAUAAGAAGGAACUUCACUGUAAUUAUGAUAUUCUAACCAAGAAUAUAUGCAUAUCUAGGCAAUAACCAAAGUGAAUAGAAUAAAAUUUAAUUCCUGAUAGAUUAAAUAGGCAAUAGCAAGGAAUGCUAACGCUCCUCAUAGCGUUCUUGUUGGAAGAAUCAUCUAGGAGGCAUUGGGAUUUCUGGUGCUUUUUAAGCAAUGAGAGAUAUCAGUCCACUGAAUGAGGAAGAGAAUAACGUUUAGUUUCGGACUAAAAGUUCAUCUGGACUACGGAAAACACGUUUGCCUCAAUCAGUGAAGAAGGUAUGCUGAGAGCUGAAAGAAAAGGAAAGCAGCAACAGUGAGAGCUCAGAAAUUCCCAGACUGUUUUGAUGAUAAGGUCCAAGAACUUGCCAUGUGAUCCAUCACUACUAGACUCCCACAACUGCAUUAGAUUUGUUCAGGAUUUUCAUAUAAUUUUCAUAACUGGCUAAGUUCUGAAAUAACCCAUCUUGAAGACAUAAACAAUGUGCAUUGAUGGCUAGCCAGACUCUGUCCUGCCACAGUUCUCCUCCUACUCUUCAUUUCUUACCCCAAGGAGUAGUAAACAUGAAUCCUGACCCACCAAUGCAGUCCCAGAACUGAGAAAAGAUUCACUGCAGCUAAACAGUAGGUAGAAAUAAAAACAAUGACUCAAUUCAAUAAUAUUAAGUGUGUUGGGAAGACAGUCUCCAAGAGAAACGAUAAAUAACCUACAUAAUGAAGAAUUAGUUAGCAGUGUUAUGUAAAUAUUGUAGCAGCAUCAAUGAGGAGGAUUAUUUUUGCACCUUUGGAAAGCAACUGAAAAAGGAAGCCUGGAAAAAAUCCUGCCUAACAAAGCAGCAGUACUCAAAUAGCUUUAACUAUAAGAAAGAACUGAUUCAAGAUAUGAGAAGAGAUUUAAGAUAUAAGAUUAAAUAUAAGUGUAAAUGAUAUCCUCAUUUUUAUUGAAAUGCUGUGUAUUCCUAUUAUUUCAGUGAAAUGUUAAAUGGCAAAGGAUGCAUUUUUUAGAUUAUUUUUUUCACUGAAUUUUAAACAGUCUUUGAAGCAGAUAUUUCAUAUAACAAUAUCCAGAAACAAUAACACAUAUGUGGAUAAAGUUGAGUGGUUGGAUAAUGUAUUGUGCAAAUUAUCAAGAAGAAAACCAUCUUAAAGAAAUAUUUUAGCUUAACAGCAUCAAUAAAUGGGACACCUAGUUCACUUAAAAAAAUUGACAAUGAAUGUUUUCCUCCUUAUACCCCUGAAGGCCUUGGGUUUGGAAUGACAAAAUAUUCAAAUAUUUUGAAAUUAUCUACAUUUUAAAUAUUUAUUCAAGGAGAAUUGAAUCUUGAUUGACAAUUGUGCACAAAUUGCUGAAAUUCAAAAAUUCUAAAUCUCAUGUCAGAUAUUAGGAAAUUUUAAUUUUUCAUUUACUAAAACGGUAAAAAUGUAGACACUAGAAAAAAAUGAAGAAAUGACAAUGUCAUAGAUAAUCAACAAACUGAAUAAUUAGGUGGAAUUACUCAACCCCCAGAUUAGUCCAUUUUCAUGCUGCUGAUAAAGACAUACCCAAGACUGGGCAAUUUA